GAGAAAGAGUCGCUGGUCAGGAAACUUCAAGCGCGGAUGAGGUCAUUGGUUUAAAAAUAAAGAGAUGGCGUCACUUGAAACCAAUCCCAGUGAAUGAACUCAGCGGAGCCCGGGGGAAAGGAGGAGACAGGCGAGGGCAGGGCGGUGGGCGCCGGGCGGGGCCGCGCGCCGCCCGCCCAUCCCGCGGCCGCCCGAGCCCCCGCGCGGGGAGGGUCGGGUCACGUUCCGCCGCCGAGUUCGGCGGCUCCGAAGCAGGUUCCGCUGGCGCCGCUGGGAGGAGCCGGGCGGCCCGAGGAGGCGGCCGCACGCCCUCCUCCUUCCGCGCCCGCGCGCCCGCCGCCCCCCGAGCUCCCGGCCCGCGACCCCCCGGGUCCGCGCCCUGGCCGCGCGCCCUGGGCGCUGCGCCCCAACAGGUAUUUCAAGGGUUCCUCCCCCCUCCACCCCCCGCCCCAAGACCCAGCCAGCGCCUUUCCCUCCUGCUUGGGCUGUUUCCAGCGGCCUCGCCAGCGUGAAGAAACGCAAACAAUGAUUUGAGAGAGUUACAGUCACUCCUGUAAAAAGUCUGACGAAGGCAAACGGCAGGGCACGGCCCUGGGUUAUGAAAGAGAAGCUGCAGGUACUUGGAGAAAAGUCGCGCUCGUGUUGUCAGGCGCUCAGCCCUCUGUCAUGCUUGUCGCUGAAAGCCCCCGCAUGAAUGUCCCCAGCAUUAUUUUACUGGGCUUCUGUUUUCUUAGACUUGUUUCUAUUUACAACUUGAAUGAGCGCGAGCAGCCAGACAUUCUCUUUAAAAAAUGUUUUCUGCAUGGAACAGUGCGCAAUCGUCUUUAAAUCAGACCAGAAGGUCACUGCCCCUGGAGGUGCCAGACCCUGUGAUGGUAGCUCUAUACACUUGGUGCAUUUUCGUAUUUUGGAUUUAAUUACAACAGCUUUGUUUUGAGACACGUUACACACUUUGAAAAACUGGAGACCUGAGGUGGUGACAAACCAGGACUUGGGAUCACUGACUAGGACAAUCGGAGCUUUAUUCUAGUGUUCUUUGAGCAUUUGAGCAUGGAGCUGCUUCGACUGAGAAGUACUCACGUGGAUAUCACAUAACAAAGAUGUGAUUAAUGACGGAAAAGCACACUGAGAACGGACUGCUCCGGCCAGAAGUUAUGUGUAGGAAUCAUCUAGCUCCUAAAAUAUUCCAUUUGCAAUGUACUACAUUUGGGACAUUGGUCCCUAAAGGCAUCUUUCUUGUGGAAUGUCCAUGUGGACACUGCCUAAGGGACUUCUUUUUUUUUUUUUUUUUAAUUGGCUCAAGAACAGAGAACCAGGUUUGGGGUGGAUUAGAAAGAUAAAACAUCUCCAUACGUCUUUUAUGCCUUUAAGCCCUGCAACUAAAGUGCACUGGCUAUGACUGAUCAUCGUUUAAGAACUCAACAGCAGUGUUUAGCUCCAAUUGAUGACUAAUGGGCAGAAGAGUGCGUCUUAAGAAAAACAGAAAUAGAGAAGAUUGAAGCAAAAUUUGAAGCAGUUAAAAUCAUUCAAAAUCGAAGACAUGGUUCCCCUGCUGCUUUCCUGAAGUCUACGGGUACCAAAACCACAUGUCCUCCUGGAUAACCUAGGAUUCCAGGCUUCUGCUUCUUAAAAAUACAAGCUCUGGAAGAGGAGCCCUGUCAGAUUUUUAUUCAGCAAACAAUUCUGGUUUACCAACUCUUACAUGGAAACAACAACCUCAAAAGUGAACUUAGAGGAAAGAAAGCUGCUUUUAUAAAAAAUUUUCUGAACAAUAAAUGCAGUGUGUUGUUUUUUUUCUUCCUUACUCUAUGACAUGUACCAUGGUAAGUUUAAACUUCUUCAGGUCUGAGUCAGUAGAAUGAGAUGUGCUUGUUUAAUGUGUUUCUAUUGAGUAAGUCCUCAGGAGAAUUGUGAAAGAAGGUACCUGGUCACUUGUUUCUUCAUCUCCCUCCUAUCUCCCCCAACCCUAACCCUACAGGUAUCUAGUGUUGACUUGCUUCGCUUUAAAUGCUCAAAGUCCCACCAUAGCAAACAUAUCUCCCCAAAUCUAUUCCCUUUUUAUAACACCUGUCCUUUAAAGUCAGAAUUUUCUUCUUCUACACCUAAACCCCAUAUUAAACGAAUCGUUAGGUAACAAGUGAAAGGGGGAGAAGGAGCACAUUCAUACUAAAGUGUAAAUGACUAAUAGCGGUGCUUAGUAAGCCAUCUCUUACAAAGGGUAAUUCAAUUUUAAACAGUUGCUUACAGACCAAAUAAAUAAAUUUUCUAUUAUUUCCUCAAAUAAGGGCACACUUUUUUCUUUUCUACUGAGUGAAGUAAAAUAUAUGGCUUGGGAAUAACAGCAGUAUUUUAAGUGGGAAUGGUAGUUAGGACAAUAUUAAGAAACAUUGUUGAGUUUAAGAAGGUUUUAGUAUAUUGGUGAAGGGGAAGAGGUAAGGCAAACUCUAAACAUGGGAGGUUUUGGUUCCUUGAGCUUCAUUUUCUCUUCCUUAUUUUUAUGCUGAUUGUGUCUCUUUUUCCUUCUUUUUCAACAGACUGUUUCAGUCCUUCUUGGAAUUAUUUAUUUAUUUCGCUCCUGCUGACAAGCUGGAGGUUGAAUUAUGUGCUCAGUCUGAAAAUGUUCCUUUAGGCUCGUGCCUCUGAACUUUCUAGCCAAUGCAGAGUAAAUAGGUACUGUGCUGUAUGCAAAUGUAGGCAUAUUUGUCUGAGUAGGCCAAAGGAGGGGAGGCAUUCUGCAAAAUGCCUUUAGAACAGAAACAAACUUUUGAGAUGAAAUAUUUUAAAGCCUCAUGAAAAUAAACUAAACUCUUCGGGAACAGAAAGUACAGAGGAAUACUUAUCUAUACAAUAAAUUGGAGAAAAACCACACACGAAGCAAGACGUGACUAAUACUUCAGCAGUGAGCUCACCUCAAGCAUUUCAUGAAUUUCACAUGACCCACCCACUUUUUCUCAGUACCUCUCAAGAUUACCAUAUCAGCAGCAAUAAUACUCUGUUGUUCUGAGUGCCAGAUUUACAUAUCAACGUAGCCAUGGCAUUCCUGAAUGUAGAAUAUUGUACUGUUCCCCUUGUUUGUGGUUUCUAUAAGGUUAAUUUUUGUUCCCUUACCCUCCUCACUUAAUCUCAUGCCACCCCCUACCUCUCUUCAAUCAGAGGUUUGUUUAUGUCUAUGAAUAGUUUUCCUCCUUUCUCAUUUUCUGUGUCAAAAUUUGAACUAUCCACAAAUUCACUGUACAACCAUGCUGCUUUUUAAAUUUUUUAUUAUUCAGCUAUAGAUGAUCAACUCUUUGAAAAGAUAAGCCAGGGACAGAAAGUAACAGCUGGUCACUUCUAGGAUGGCUCUGGGAUACCUUCUUUCUCAAAUAUAUGGUAUGUUAAGGUGGGUCAGAAGUUACCAUGGUAGAUUUCAUGGCUACCUUUGUUUCUUUCUUGGCAGGCUUUGUUUUUAAUUAUUUCUAUUUCUAAAUUGGAGAUGGGGAAAAAUCUCCAUGCCAGAACUGAGUCAAGCAACUUUCAUUUCCAAUGAAAGUUUGGAAAGGGCUAGAUAAUUUUUAAAUUCAUAGACUCUCAUGUGUCAAAUUUAAUGGAAAACCAGCUGGAGCCUAAGAAGCUAUUUUAAUGAGCUUCCUUUUUCUCUGAUGUUUCCCCAGAGGCAUGUGCCAAGCGGGCCCAUGUGGCCUAGGGAGUAACAUGAUCAUCUUGGCUCUGUUUAGACACCUGUGCUCUUUUAGCCUAGUGGUAAGAAGAACAGAAGAGAGAGGGAUGAGGGCAUGGAAGGCAUGCAGGCCUAGUGGGCGUGGGUGUGUGCCAUGCUGCUUAGGAAUUCACUACAAGAAACUCCACAGCAGCGGCAAAGCCUGAUGCAUCAUAGGCCAACAGUGCCUCUGUGUGGGAUUUCUGAGAGUGCAUGAAAUGUGUCUGUGUAUGUUGGGGAGGGAAAAAUGGGGGGAGGAGAAAAUAUGCAUUUUUAAAAGGGAUUGCAUGCCUUUGAGGUUCUUUUUGAGAAGGCGAUAUAGGGAAAAAUGAUUAAAAACCAUGAAUACAAAGUAUGCCUGGGAGUCGGAGAGCAUAUUUUUCUUCUAAACUUCUUCCCACUCCUUAAAGAACAUACAUUUGCUGUGUUCACUUUUCCUUUUCUAGCAAUCAGUGUGAUGCUUGGCUCUCCCUACCCACUUAACACAUAGAUAUUAAACUUGAUCUGUAUUAUUUUUCACCAGGAGUCUUGUUUAGUGAUUAUUCAUAGUCUCCUGUGUGUGUGAAUUUCUCCUUCCUGGAUUAUACAGUUCUUGAGGGUUUAUACUUAUAGAAGUUAAUAUUCACUCUUGUUCUUCCUCACCAAUUUGUUACUAAUUCUGGGUAUUUCUCUGCAAAUGUUGAACAUAUGACUACACAAUACUUUUUCAUAAGAUUUUCUUCCACUUACAAUGUCUUCUUUUAUGAUGUGAUUAAGUUUAUUUUUAUAAAUUAAAAAUUUUUAAAAAUAAAGU